UACGAAGGGGGCUAGCGUUGCUCGGAAUUACUGGGCGUAAAGCGUGCGCAGGCGGCUGCUCAAGUCAGGGGUGAAAGCCCAGAGCUCAACUCUGGAAUUGCCUUUGAGACUGAGUGGCUUGAGUACGGGAGAGGUGAGUGGAAUUCCCAGUGUAGAGGUGAAAUUCGUAGAUAUUGGGAAGAACACCGGUGGCGAAGGCGGCUCACUGGCCCGUAACUGACGCUCAUGCACGACAGCGUGGGGAUCAAACAGG
rnacentral:rRNA from 1 species